UACGGAGGGUGCGAGCGUUAUCCGGAAUUAUUGGGCGUAAAGAGCUUGUAGGCGGUUUGUCACGUCUGCUGUGAAAGCCCGGGGCUUAACUCCGGGUGUGCAGUGGGUGCGGGCUGGCUAGAGUGCAGUAGGGGAGACUGGAAUUCCUGGUGUAGCGGUGAAAUGCGUAGAUAUCAGGAGGAACACCGAUGGCGAAGGCAGGUCUCUGGGCUGUUACUGACGCUGAGAAGCGAAAGCAUGGGUAGCGAACAGG
rnacentral:misc_RNA from 1 species